GACGAACGCUGGCGGCGUGCUUAACACAUGCAAGUCGAACGGAAAGGCCCUGCUUUUGUGGGGUGCUCGAGUGGCGAACGGGUGAGUAACACGUGAGUAACCUGCCCUUGACUUUGGGAUAACUUCAGGAAACUGGGGCUAAUACCGGAUAGGAGCCCCUGCUGCAUGGUGGGGGUUGGAAAGUUUCGGCGGUUGGGGAUGGACUCGCGGCUUAUCAGCUUGUUGGUGGGGUAGUGGCUUACCAAGGCUUUAACGGGUAGCCGGCCUGAGAGGGUGACCGGCCACAUUGGGACUGAGAUACGGCCCAGACUCCUACGGGAGGCAGCAGUGGGGAAUAUUGCACAAUGGGCGGAAGCCUGAUGCAGCAACGCCGCGUGCGGGAUGACGGCCUUCGGGUUGUAAACCGCUUUCGCCUGUGACGAAGCGUGAGUGACGGUAAUGGGUAAAGAAGCACCGGCUAACUACGUG
rnacentral:rRNA from 1 species